rnacentral:other from 1 species
UAACUCCUCGGAUGUUCGUCAAUUGGAGAUGUCCCUGAGCCGAUAAUCUUUUAAACGGGGGUUAUCAAAUGACUGGUGUGCAUGUCCGUUUCACGGAAAGCCUAAAGGUCUGCGGUAGCCACCACCUUGAACUUCAGGGUUCAAGGGCUAACCCAAUAACGGCAUCUUUGGAGCUCU